rnacentral:rRNA from 1 species
GACGAACGCUGGCGGCGUGCUUAACACAUGCAAGUCGAACGGAAAGGCCCUGCUUUUGUGGGGUGCUCGAGUGGCGAACGGGUGAGUAACACGUGAGUAACCUGCCCUUGACUUUGGGAUAACUUCAGGAAACUGGGGCUAAUACCGGAUAGGAGCUCCUGCUGCAUGGUGGGGGUUGGAAAGUUUCGGCGGUUGGGGAUGGACUCGCGGCUUAUCAGCUUGUUGGUGGGGUAGUGGCUUACCAAGGCUUUGACGGGUAGCCGGCCUGAGAGGGUGACCGGCCACAUUGGGACUGAGAUACGGCCCAGACUCCUACGGGAGGCAGCAGUGGGGAAUAUUGCACAAUGGGCGGAAGCCUGAUGCAGCAACGCCGCGUGCGGGAUGACGGCCCUCGGGUUGUAAACCGCUUUCGCCUGGGACGAAGCGUGAGUGACGGUAAUGGGUAAAGAAGCACCGGCUAACUACG